rnacentral:rRNA from 1 species
AGUGAACGCUGGCGGCAGGCCUAACACAUGCAAGUCGAGCGGCAGCGCGUCCGACCACCCUCGGGUGGUCGGAUGGCGGCGAGCGGCGGACGGGUGAGGAAUGCAUCGGAAUCUGCCUCGUUGUGGGGGAUAACGUAGGGAAACUUACGCUAAUACCGCAUACGACCUACGGGUGAAAGUGGGGGACCGUUCGGGCCUCACGCGAUGAGAUGAGCCGAUGCCGGAUUAGCUAGUUGGCGGGGUAAAGGGCCACCAAGGCGACGAUCCGUAGCUGGUCUGAGAGGAUGAUCAGCCACACUGGAACUGAGACACGGUCCAGACUCCUACGGGAGGCAGCAGUGGGGAAGUAUUGGACAAUGGGGGCGAACCCUGAUCCAGCCAUGCCGCGUGUGUGAAGAAGGCC